AUUGAACGCUGGCGGCAGGCUUAACACAUGCAAGUCGGGCGAGUGGCGGACGGGUGAGUAAUGAAUGGGGAUUUGCCUGACGGCCGGGUAUAACUACUGGAAACGGUGGCUAAUACCGCAUACUAUCGUAUGAACCCAUAUGGGAUUAGCUAGUGGGUGGGGUAAGGGCUUACCUAGGCGACGAUCGCUAGCUGGUUUGCGAGGAUGAUCAGGCACACAGGGACUAGGACACGGCCCAGACUCCUACGGGAGGCAGCGGUGGGAAAUAUUGGGGAAUGGGCGCAAGCCUGAUACAGCCAUGCCGCGUGUAUGAAGAAGGCCUUAGAGUUGUAAAGUGCUUUCAGCGGGGAGGCGUUACCCGCAGAAGAAGCACCGGCUAACUCCGUGCCAGCAGCCGCGGUAAUUC
rnacentral:rRNA from 1 species